AACCCGUAAAACUAUAAGUUCUUGUGUCGUAAAUCAGGAACUUAGCUUUUGCGAGUCAC
rnacentral:pre_miRNA from 1 species